GUUGAGGUGGCAGAGCCCGGCUAUUGCAAUAGGCCUAAGCCCUUUUAACAGAGGUUCAAGUCCUCUCCUCAACU
rnacentral:tRNA from 1 species